UGUUAAAAAUUUUAUUUAUUUGUAUUGUUAAAAAUUGGUGUAGUUGACGAAAUAAUCAAAUAAUGAUAUGUGACGUGCCAUUUAUAUCUUAUGUUGAUAUAUAAGAAUCAAUUUUUAAUAAAAAAAUAGAUAAUUUUUUUAACA
rfam:Gossypium raimondii Chr08_contig_1300, whole genome shotgun sequence.